rnacentral:rRNA from 1 species
CCGCACGCGCGCUACACUGACAGAGCCAACGAGUUCAUCACCUUGGCCGAAAGGUCUGGGUAAUCUUGUUAAACUCUGUCGUGCUGGGGAUAGAGCAUUGCAAUUAUUGCUCUUCAACGAGGAAUUCCUAGUAGGCGCAAGUCAUCAGCUUGUGCCGACUACGU